ensembl:snRNA U2 U2 spliceosomal RNA
AUCGCUUCUCAGCCUUUUGGCUAAGAUCAAGUGUAGUAUGGUAGUUGAACUGUAUGUACUACUCAAAAACAUUCCAAAUCUAUGGAGCAGUGGAACUAAAUACAAUAAUGAACUGACAAAGUAUUUUUUUGAAGGACAGUUUUCAUGUUUAUAUACAAGUACUAGCAUGUUGGUGUAAAGAAGACAUUAAAGUACCAUUUAU